AUUGAACGCUGGCGGCAGGCCUAACACAUGCAAGUCGAGGGGUGGUAGCAAUACUACACCGGCGCACGGGUGCGUAACGCGUAUGCAAUCUACCUUUAUCUGGGGGAUAGCCCGGGGAAACCCGGAUUAAUACCGCAUAACAAAUUGAUUGGCAUCAAUUAAUUUUAAAAGAUUUAUCGGAUAGAGAUGAGCAUGCGUAAGAUUAGAUAGUUGGCGAGGUAACGGCUCACCAAGUCUACGAUCUUUAGGGGCUCUGAGAGGAGAAUCCCCCACACUGGCACGUAGAUACGGGCCAGACUCCUACGGGAGGCAGCAGUAGGGAAUAUUGGGCAAUGGGCGCAAGCCUGACCCAGCCACGCCGCGUGCAGGAAGAAGGCCCUCUGGGUUGUAAACUGCUUUUGACCGGGAAGAAAAGAAUCUUUGCGAAGAUAGUUGACGGUACCGGCAGAAUAAGCCACGGCUAACUACGUGCCAGCCGCCGCGGUAACAC
rnacentral:rRNA from 1 species